rnacentral:rRNA from 1 species
CUGAAGCAGUGACACAGAAGGAUAACUCGAGCAGGGUGAUGGUCAACCCUGUGCAAGCAUUGAGGUUGGGUUGUAGUGAAGUACGCAAUCCUAUAAGCUGAGAUGUGAUGCGGACCGAAAUUUCAGUAGGGAAGCGAGUGAGUUCACGCUGGCGAGAAAAGCUGCUAGUACAUCCAAAGGUACCCGUACCGGAAACCGACGCAGGUGGGCGAGGAGAGAAUCCUGAGACGAACGGGAGAACCCUUGUUAAGGAACUCGGCAAAAUGACCCCGUAACUUCGGGAUAAGGGGUGCCUGCGAGAGCAGGCCGCAGAGAAUAGUCACAAGCGACUGUUUAGCAAAAACACAGGUAUCUGCGAAAGCGAGAGCUGACGUAUAGGUGCUGACACCUGCCCGGUGCUGGAAGGUUAAGGGAACAUGUUAGAGCAAUCGAAGCAUCGAACCGAAGCCCCAGUAAACGGCGGCCGUAACAAUAACGGUCCUAAGGUAGCGAAAUUCCUUGUCGGGUAAGUUCCGACCCGCACGAAUGGUGUAACGACUUGUGAGCUGUCUCAACAGGGGGCCCGGUGAAAUUGAAGUAUGGGUGAAGAUGCCCAUUACCCGCGACUGGACGGAAAGACCCCGUAGAGCUUUACUGCAGCCUGAUAUUGAGUUUCGGUAACUGAUGCACAGGAUAGGUGGGAGUCUGAGAGACAUGGGUUUCGGCUCAUGUGGAGACGGUGUUGUGAUACCACUCUUCGGUUACUGAAAUUCUAACAUAGCUCUGUGAAACCAGAGGAUGGACAGUGUCAGGUGGACAGUUUGACUGGGGCGGUCGCCUCCGAAAGAGUAACGGAGGCGCCCAAAGGUACCCUCAGAAUGGAUGGAAACCAUUCGAAGAGCGCAAAGGCAGAAGGGUGCCUGACUGCGAGAUUGACAAAUCGAGCAGAGACGAAAGUCGGGCUUAGUGAUCCGGCGGUAUUGAGUGGAAAAGCCGUCGCUUAACGGAUAAAAGCUACCUCGGGGAUAACAGGCUGAUCUCCCCCAAGAGUCCACAUCGACGGGGAGGUUUGGCACCUCGAUGUCGGCUCGUCGCAUCCUGGGGCUGAAGCAGGUCCCAAGGGUUUGGCUGUUCGCCAAUUAAAGCGGCACGCGAGCUGGGUUCAGAACGUCGUGAGACAGUUCGGUCCCUAUCCAUCGUGGGCGUAGGAGUCAUGAGAGGAGCUGUUCCUAGUACGAGAGGACCGGAAUGGACGCACCACUGGUGCAACUGUUGUCGUGCCAACGGCAUAGCAGGGAAGCGAAGUGCGGAUGGGAUAAACGCUGAAGGCAUCUAAGCGUGAAGCCCACCUCAAGAAUAAGACUCCACAAUAGACCCCUGGAGGACUACCAGGUAGAUAGGUCAUCGGUGGAAGCGCUGUAAGGCGUGUAGCUUGAUGAUACUAAUCGGUCGAAAGCUUC